GCCUCAAUGCUCCCAGCGGCACGGAGGAACCUGACAGCGCUUACUUGAUUGAAAGAAGCUGGACGAGAAAGACACACAGCCUAGAGUUCCAUCCGUAUAAAUUCACAAGAUUCCAGCUAUGAUACGGUGACAGAAGGCAGGUCGGUGGCGGCCUAGAGACAAGAGGGGGUUCAGAGCGGGGGGUGCGAUGGAUCUCCAGGGCCACAAGGAAGCUUUCGAAGUACCUUUGUACAGAUAAAGAUAGUCCGUGCUUCCGCAUUCAUGAAGCCAGGGGUGAAGAUUGAGAGGGGUUUACAAGACGCCUAGCUGCCUCUCUGUUUGCUGUCAGCGUGGUGAAGUGCGGGCCUCUGCUGAACAGAUUGUCUUCUCUUUGUGGAGAAAGGUGGGUUCUUUACCACCAGCCCUACCUGGGAAGUCUCCAUAGUUUCAUUUGAUACUUUCAUGCAACUCUUUUCAUGCUUGUCCUGGAGAUCAUGACUUGAUUCCUCUGCUAUCAAAAUUGGACUUUACGCUUUGGUUUCUGAGCCCACAGGACCCACUGAAAACUCGCUUGGCUUCUUCCCAGCAGCUGCGACCACACAUCCAGAAACUGCAGACACCCCCAGGUCAAAGCGGCCCUAGACCGCAGGUUCAUCUUUCUGAGUCUCUGUCCUCCCCUGGACCCGGACAGUCCCCCGUGCUUUCAGAUGAAAUUCGCAGAUCCCUCCUCCAGCUCUGUAACUGUUCUCGGCGGCCGGUCCAAGCCUCGUCUGCCACCACCAGGUGUGGGGACGCAGUGGCAUCGCUGCGGUUGCUGUUUGGUUCACCUCCAAGCUUUCAGUUUUCAGACGUCAGUAGAGAGAAUCGUAUGCAUGAUGGGGACUUCUGACCCGUCCUAAUGGUCAGGAUUUAUCGUUGCGUCCUCGCCGUGUUGGACACCGGCCUGAGCACUCUGCGCGUGUGACUUCACGUUAUCCUCACAGUAAGGCUUUGAGUCGCAAGUAUGAGUAUAACCGCACUGCACAAGUCACAGAUGGGAGGCACAGAUGGACGCCUGCCACGGCCACGUGUCGGGGUUGGGUAGGGGUGGCAGGGAACCGGAAGAAUCUGACCCCAGAGUCUCCCCUCUAAACCAGCACGCUACAUUGGUGACUGGGAGACAGCUAAAGAUCUUUCAAAAAGCCACAGACCCUGAAGUGCUGGGUAAAUGGAGCUUGUGGUUCAGGGAGACGGGCGUGUGGUGAGCAGCCUCUGACCAGACCAGUAAAGACGCGUGUUAAUAAGGUGGAUCCUAAGAUGCUAUAUUUUGCAUUUCCUUAAGGUUCAUAAGGACUGAUCAUCGUCUCUUGUCACUGACAAAGUCAUAAACCUGAGCUCAGAGAUGGGAACUAUGUCAAGAGAGGGCUUGGUGCUAGAAUGUAUGAUUGGUCAUCGUUAAGACAGUCACAUAAUUGUAAUCAGUUUCCUGGUGCAAAAAUAAAAUAAGACUUUACUUC